ACACUGAUGAAGAGUCCCACAAUAAGACGAAAUGGACGUCCAGUGC
rnacentral:hammerhead_ribozyme from 1 species